GGUGGCUCAGUGGUAGAGUGCUUGCCUUGCAUGCAUGACGCCCUGGGUUCGAUUCCUCAGUACCA
rnacentral:tRNA from 1 species